UACGUAGGGGGCUAGCGUUGUCCGGAAUCAUUGGGCGUAAAGAGCGUGUAGGCGGCCCGGUAAGUCCGCUGUAAAAGUCAAAGGCUCAACCUUUGAAUGUCAGUGGAUACUGCCGGGCUAGAGUCCGGAAGAGGCGAGUGGAACUCCUGGUGUAGCGGUGGAAUGCGCAGAUAUCAGGAAGAACACCAACGGCGAAGGCAGCUCGCUAGGACGGUACUGACGCUGAGACGCGAAGCGUGGGAGCGAACAGG
rnacentral:rRNA from 1 species